AGGUGAGGGGCGUUCCAAACUAAUUAGUGAUUUUAGUUCAAUCAAUCAAGUACAAAGGAGGAGCGAAAACCCGCAGACUCUCGGCCAAAUAAGUUUGACAAGUGCAUUUAUAGAUGAUAAAAAGCUACUUUCAGAUCCACUAAUGGUUUGGGUGUUUUGAUAACAAUAUCAGUUUAUAUACGAAAUAUGUAUUAAAUGUAUUGCAGUCAUAUCCACACUGUUCAGUUUUGUUUCUGUUUCCAAUGAACGUGCAAAUGUUUCUUCAAUUGUGGCAAUUUGGGUGUUGUACUAUCACAGAUGCCUUGGACCCGUGAAAGCUAUCAGAAUACUCGGGAACCAAUUAGCCUCUUGAGUCAUUGAAAUUAUGUCUCAAAAAAAUAAUUUGCUCAAACCCCAAAUAUGCAUGGGGAAAAGCACACGUUCUUGAAGAAUGACAUACUGACUGACUUGCUACUUACUGCAAGCGGGCUACACCAGUGAAAAAUUGACGUCACUCACAUCUGCCUGACCUGCGUAUUGGAUGGGUAGCUAUCUAGCCUAGCCACUGUGCUUUCAGCAAUUCUUCCUACUAGCUAAGUUAGUGUUAGUAUUAGUAAUAAUAGUCCUUAGCAAAGUAGCUAAUGUUUUAUGUAACGACGUCGUUUGAAACUCAAUGGUUUUAGAUGCACCGUAGACCAUGUGCAGGUGGGACAAUGUUGGUGAGGUUCCGAAGCCAACACAUCCGGUCUUCAGUGGCCCAUUGGAUUUUUAUCCAGUGAACUAGUAAGACAGUUCACGUCAUGGGAAGGAUCAGCUUAUCAUGCUUCCCAGCCUCCUGGCACUUCAGCCUGUCUCCCCUGGUUCUACCCAGUGUCCCACUACCUUCAUUCAGGCAGCUGCUCUUUGUUGGUCUGCUGGUGGGACUACUAGGACUGAUUUACCUGUUGCUGGUAACAGGAAAGGGCCAGGACAGCUGGAACAGAAAGGACAACUAUUUCCACAGGUGAGACACUUGUACCACAUUAGAAGAUAUACAUUUGUCCCCCAGUUGUUUGUAGAGGACACAUGCAGUGUAUGCCUUUUAUUUAUCUUGAUACAAAGUACAUGUUUGCCUGAAUUUGGCCUAAAAUGUUCAACUUUUCACCAAGACACUUGGCGAGGGUCACAGAUGUGGAGGCCACAGACACUAGCAAUCACAACUAUAGUCUGGUGGUGGACUGCGGCAGCAGUGGCUCCAGGGUGUUUGUGUACAAUGGUAAUCCCCAUGACCUGCUUGACAUCUGACAGAUGAGAGAUCAACACAGGAAGCCAGUGGUCAUGAAGAUCAAACCAAGUGAGGCAUACCAGGUUGCUGAUUACUGGUGUGCUGCUGGGAAUAGCCACAUGCACACAUUCUCACUAUUCUUUCAUAAUGUAGAAGACAUUGGCUUCUAGUUGACAUUGGGCUCCUAAGUGGAGCAGCGGUCUAAGGCAGUGCAUCCUACUGCAAAAGGCGACACUUCAGUCCCUGUUUUGAAUCCAGGCUGAAUCACAUUCGGACAACGACCCAUUCGGAUUCGGAGUCCCAUAGGGCGGUGCACAAUUAGCCCAGCGUCAUCCGGGUUUGGCCGGGUAGGCUGUCAUUGUAAAUAAGAAUUUGUUCUUAACUGACUUGCUUAGUUAAAUUCAAUUAAAAAAACAUGUUUUUUAAAAAUUGUUAAAUGAACUCAUCUGUUCCAUCCUAGAAAGACUGAGCCAUGGUCAUGACUUUCUGGUGUUCUUUAAAUAAAUAAAAAAUAAAAGGUAUCUCGGCACUAGCAAAAACACCAGAGAAGGCCAGUGAUUACAUCCACCCCCUGCUGAGCUUUGCUGCCCGGCACAUUCCUAAACAGAAGCACCAGGAGAUCCCUCUGUACAUCUUGUGCACAGCUGUAAUGAGGGUGCUGCCUGACAGUCAACAGGAGGCACUGCUUGAGGAUCUAUGGACUGACAUCCCUGUCCGUUUCAACUUCCUCUUCUCUGAUUCCCAUGUGGAGGUCAUUUCUGGCAAGCAGGAAGAUGAGCUAACCCGUUUUAUAGAAGCUGGCAAACUAAACACUGACCAUUCUGAUGGAGAAUGUCAUCAUGCCCAGUGUUGAAAAUUUGUAACAUAACAGUAGAAAUUCUGGAAUAUGUGACCGGGCUCUACAGUGUGACCAUUUUACAUAUGCGGCUAAAUAUUUUGCUGUGUGACGUAGAAUUGUAAUUUAGGAGCACCAGUGCAUUUAGAAAAAUGUAAGAAUUCUAGCUUUAUUAGCUCAAAUAUUUUUCAUUGUGCCCCUACAUUUCUUUGUGUGCACCUACAUUUUUCAACUGAGGGGUACACAUGCUCCUUGUAAAUGUAUUUUUAUUUAUUUUUAAGUCUGCAUAGAGCCCUGUAUGAAUUGUCCUUUCUUGUUUGGACAGGUGUGUAUGCAUGGAUUGGAAUCAACUUUGUCCUUGGAAAGUUUAAUCAUGUGGAUAGUGGGAUAUUCAGCAGGAGAGUCUGAAAGGAGUCCACUCCCAAUGGCGUCACAGCUUCUCCUUUGUCAACAACCACUACUCGUUCUUGGCCUGCUUCCUGGUUGUCCUCCUAUCCAUCCUGCUCUACUUGCUGCGCCUCCGACGUAUCCACAGCUGUACCACGCAACGCUGCACGCCCUCUACUGUUAAGUGGCUAGAGGAGGGUCUCAGAUCCCACCCACUCCCUAUCACCCUUUAGACUUCACAUCUGUCACUCCAAAAUCAGCCUUUUCUUCCCCAGCUGGAAUCCAUUUGCCUGCACCUUUAUGUUAAGGUCUUCAUUUCUUAGCUGGAAAUGACAAAGACUAGAACUUAGUUGGAUUUUGAAUGAGUCCAAUGAACAGAGACGUCAGACAGCAUUUGAAUGAACUGGUGUGGGAGAUAUUGCAUGUUGAGUUUGCACCAUCCAUGAAAUUCUUUUUUUAAUAUAUUUUUUUAUGAUAUCAAAAUAUCAGCCUUUUUUAUUUUUCUGGAAAUGUGAACAAGGUUCAAAAAGCAUAACUAUCCUUGCCUGAAGUUUGUGAGGUCCCAUCCGUACAUGGUCCAGUUAGGCAGGCUUGUUCAAGCUUCCUGUAAGGUUUAAAUGGCAGCUGCCUCACAACUUACCCUAAUUAGUCAUUCCUAAAAUGGCAUAUUGUGAAAGAAUGCCCAUAAACUGCUGUUUUUCCAAUGAACGGAGCAUAUCAUUGAACGAAUUUGACAAGACAAUAGUAGGUUUAUGAGGAGGAUGAUGAAACAGUUGCUGUUUUACAGUACAUAUUUAUAGAUUCACUGUUCUUGAGUAGAGUUUCACUUAUCUGUCACAUUAUCCUGAUGCAAUUUAAUUUCAGUGUCUCUGUUUGCAUUUUGGGUGCAUGAUCAGUGAAUGUUUAUUGGUUGUGGGGAGGAAUGUUGUGUGUACCUCUGUUCACCCUCAAAGUUUACUGCUCUGCUUGGCACCUGUCAUACUUUGAUUUACAGCUUAUUUUUUACUUAGACUGCUGCGCCACAGAAGAAAACUAAGGUUAUUCAUCUCAGUGCAAGAGGCGUCACAAUAGUACCUGGUUCAAAUUCAGGCUGUAUCAAAUCCGGCUGUGAUUAGGAGUCCCAUAGGGCGGCACACAAUUGGCCCAGCGAUGUCCGGGUUUGGCCUGAGUAGGCCAUCAUGGUAAAUAAGAAUUUGUUCUUAACUGACUUGCCUAGUUAAAUAAAAAUAUGCAGUUAACUACU